rnacentral:lncRNA from 1 species
CAGCACCACCCUGGAGAGAGCUCAGGCGCUGGACAUCCUGGGUCCAGCCCAGCCCGUCACCCUCUGGCUGUGUGGGCCAGACCCAUGGCUCCACUUCCCUGAGCCUCAGUUUCCUCCUCUGAAACGGAGAAAAUAAAGCCGACCUCAUGCCCCGUGGGGUCUAAAUGAGACCCUGCAGACACCCACCCAGUUGUUUCUGCCGCUGUCCCAGCCUAGCAGGACGUUGCCCUCCUCCGUCUGCAGGAGAGCACCAGCAGGUCCCUGGGGCCCCACCGCGGCUUGCUCAGCCCCUCGACAGUCCAGCUUAGGGGUCAGCAGAUCGCCUGCACAGGCCGGAGGAGCCCCGCGAGCUCAGCUCAGCCCCCGGGCCCUGCCUCAGGCACCCCCACAUGGAUGCUCCACGAGCCAGCAGCAAGAUCCCAUGAGGAUCCCACAUGACAUUGCUUCGUGGAAUCUCUUUAAUCUCCUCCCGUCUGUGACGGUUUCUCAGCCUGCCUGCUCUGCCAUAACCGUGACACAUUUGAGGAGCACUGAAUGGUUCUUUUGUCCAGGUCCUCAGUCUGGGUCUGUCUGGUGUCUCCUCGUGAUGAGGGGGAGCACAGAGGGGAUGUGCCUCUCAGCGCACCUGUCGGCGGCCCCCGAUUUCCACGUGUCUAUUACCAGCGAUGUAACCUUGCUCACUUGACUAAGGCGAUAUGAGCCAGGAUUCUCCACCAUCAAGUUGCUCCCUUUCCCUUUGUGACUCGUAACUAUUUUGAUGGAGCCACGGAAAUAUGAACCUAAAGCAGGGGCAACCCUAGGGAAGAAAAUAGAUGAAUUGGACUUCAUCACAAUUGAACACUUUUUUGCAUCAAAGGAGACCCACCAAAUGUGAGAAAAUGUUUGCAAAUCAGAUAUCUGAUAAGGAUCUCGUAUCCAGAAUGUAUAAGGAAUUCUUUCAACUCAAUAAAAAGACAAAUAACCUAAUUAAAAAAUAGGCAAAAGUGGGGCUGGCCCCGUGGCCGAGUGGUUAAGUUCGCGCACUCCGCUGCAGGCGGCCCAGUGUUUCGUUAGUUCGAAUCCUGGGCGCGGACAUGGCACUGCUCAUCAGACCACACUGAGGCAGCGUCCCACAUGCCACAACUAGAAGAACCCACAACGAAGAAUACACAACUAUGUACCGGGGGGCUUUGGGGAGAAA